UGGGGAAUUGUUCGCAAUGGGCGCAAGCCUGACGACGCAACGCCGCGUGGAGGAUGAAGACCUUCGGGUCGUAAACUCCUUUCGACCGAGAUGAAUUCCCGCCGACCUAACACAUCGGCGGGUUGACAGUAUCGAGGGAAGCAGCCCCGGCUAACUCCGUGCCAGCAGCCGCGGUAAUACGGGGGGGGCAAGCGUUGUUCGGAAUUACUGGGCGUAAAGGGUUCGUAGGUGGCUCGCUAAGUCAGACGUGAAAUCCCUCAGCUUAACUGGGGAACUGCGUCUGAGACUGGCAAGCUCGAGUGCAGGAGAGGAACGCGGAAUUCCAGGUGUAGCGGUGAAAUGCGUAGAUAUCUGGAGGAACACCGGUGGCGAAGGCGGCGUUCUGGACUGCAACUGACACUGAUGAACGAAAGCCAGGGGAGCAAACGGGAUUAGAUACCCCUGUAGUCC
rnacentral:rRNA from 1 species